rnacentral:lncRNA from 1 species
CUGCCUACACAGAAUUAUGCCAUCCAUUUGGAGGCAAUUUUCAAGUUAAAAUGUUGUCAGAGGGUUGUCACAGUUUUGAUCUUUCUUUUCUGUUCUUUUUCAACCCACCCACAUUUUUUACUUGAAUUGGAAAGGGGAGUGAGGAGGGGAGAGCCUGGUAUAGAUUCAGAGAUUUUUUUUUAAUUGUUCAAGGUAGAUGACAGCUUCAGAAAUUGAGUUUUCUCUUAAGAAACUUUAAUCCCAGAACCAAAUGUCACAACUGUGCUGUUGCUUUCAAUGUUUAAGGGACCUGGAGAGACCAGGCCAGGUGUCCUGUUGUUACCUCCCCAGGCCAUCUCUUGAGAUUUCAUCUUGCUUCUCUCUUCUGACUUGUUCAGAAAUGCCAAAGAAUCCCAUUGCCUGCUUCUUCCAACCACUAAGAUCUGAAUGGAGAAUUGAAGAGGGUUCAAACCCUCAUCUCACUAUUGACUUUUUCUUGACUGUGGGCUAGUCCCUCUGAGCUUCCAUGCUUGCUUUUUAGAUGAAACAGGAUAAUAAGUGUGAAAGUUCACUGAAAGGCAUAUUGUAACAGAAAUGUCCAGGAUUAUUAUUAUUUAUUAUAACAACUAAUCCAUUCUCAAUUCAGGAAACACAAGAGAGCAGUGAACCAAUACUGCCAGGGUUCUUGACAUCAGACGGUGAAGAGGAAACUAGAAG